CACGCACACACACACACACACACACACACACACACACACACACACACACACACACACACACACACACACACACACACACACACACACACACACACACACACACACACACACAGAAACAUGUCUUCAAUGACAAAAAAAUGUGAUUGAUUGUAGAUCAAAGCAACCUUCUUAAAGAAUAGCAACCCUCCAUUCUGCUGCUAAUCACAAACUGAUUGAUUAUGUCAGGAAACCUUCAGUGAUGUCCGAGAGGAGAUUAACAUGAGCUAAUCACAUGCUUUAACCAAAGAGCAACAAUUCAUCUGUGAGAGGGAAUACAAUCCAUCACCUAAAAACCAGUCCCGCCCACUAAGGACACACACACACAUAUAUAUAACAGGACUGUCAACAACAGUCUGUGUCAACAUUUGAACAAGAGAAGCACGUAAAACCCUCGACUUCUGUUUUUUAAAUCAAAAUUAUAUUUCUCUUGAUUUUUGGAGUUUAAAGGUUUUUUAAAUUGGAGGAACAAUGGGAAACGAGAACUCGAAAAACGAAGACCAAACCGAGGAUGUGAAUAUUUCAGAGAAGCAUCAGAACGGAUCAGUGAGCGGCAGCGUCACGCUGAACGGCGGGCCGGAAAUCGACGGUAAAGAUCCAGCUGUGGUCAAACAGAACGAAGAACCCGUGACUUUAAACCUCGCCAUCGACUCAACUGAAUGUGUGGUCAUCGACUCAGAGGCCCCGCCCAACACUGCUCCAGUCUCGUCUGAAAUCUCCGCCCCUCCUGAAACACCAGAGGUCACCAAGGAGCUCCUCGUUAGUGUCCAGGUUCCCCCACAAACCCCCGAUCCCCCCAAACAGAAGGAGGAAGUCCCAAAGAAAAAGUUUUUUGGUAAAAUGUUCAAAAAGAAAGUGGAAGCAGUAGUAGACGAGCCGAGUGUGGAGGAAACGACCAUCAGUGGAGACCAGGUGGAUGCUGGUCAGACCAUCAUUACCACACAACCAGAGGCUAGAGACCCCCACCAGGACCCCUCUCAGCCACCAACGGGACCAGUAGUCAGUGUGAUUUUUAACGGGGGUCCAGACCUUCAAAGUUCUCCUGAAGUCGACAUUGGAACCAGUGUCACAGAGGAGGGGCCGGAGAAGAGAGAGGAAGAGGAGAGAAACCAAGAGGAAAAACCACCAGUUAUGAACUUCUUUAAAUCUCUGUCCCAGAAGGAGAGCCAAGCAGCACCAACAACCACCGUUGCAGAGGUAUCCGAGCCGCCCACACCACCCAAAGGAAUGUCAAUCCCUCCACCACCUCCACCAGCUCCACCAAAGCUGGAAAUCAAAGAACCAGCGGCUAAAUGUUUGAAACCAACAACCAAAGAAGAACCAACUGCUGCGAAGAAACCAGAGUCCUCGCCUGGAAAAUCAGCUUUGAGCAAAUUCUUCCGUCCAAAGACCAUCAAAGAGGCCCCGCAGCCAGAGGUAGAGGUUACACCAGUAAUAGAGGAAACACCAGUGGAGGUGUCUGAGCCUGUGUUAGCGGUGCAGCAGAGCGACGAUAAGCUCCAUCUUCAGGAGGAGACAGCCGAGGAAAUACUUGUAACCCUGGAGCAGGUGGUUGAAGAUGUGCAGACGAUGAUUGAAGAUGAGAAGGUGGACCCUCCCAAAGCUGGCACUGUGGAGGCUGCAACGAAACCAGAACCGCCAGCAGCGGGUCAGGAAGAGAAGAAGACUGGCUCCAAAUUAGGCUUCAAGUCCCUCUUCAAGUCCAAAGUUCAGAAACAUUCAGACUCCGGGGGUCAGACGGAGUAAACGCCCGCGGAGAAAACAAAAUUAAAAAAAACCAUCGCCACCAAACCCUCAAGCUUCAACGUACUCAACUCUACAAUUCCUCUGCACUCUACACUAUAUCUGCUCGGAUCAUGAAGAAAAAAGCUAUUUAAUGUAAAAUGUAAAACUGCAAACACAAGUUUUUGAUUAGAAACGCAUGAAGAGGUAAAAAGUGUCUUCUGUUAGUUUUAUAAUACAAUAAACUGGGCUUGUGGUUGUAAACA
ensembl:lncRNA proteoglycan 4-like